rnacentral:misc_RNA from 1 species
GAUGAAGAACGCAGUGAAAUGCGAUACUUGGUGUGAAUUGCAGAAUCCCGUGAACCAUCGAGUCUUUGAACGCAAGUUGCGCCCGAAGCCAUCAGGUUGAGGGCACGUCUGCCUGGGCGUCACAUAUCGUUGCUCGAUGCCUAUCGCAUUGCGAUAGGACUUAGGGCGAAUGAUGGCUUCCCGUGAGCGUUGUUGCCUCGCGGUUGGUUGAAAAUCGAGUCCUUGGUAGGGUGUGCCAUGAUAGAUGGUGGUUGAGUGAUGAUGCUCGGGACCAAUCAUGGGUAACUCCACCAGAAUUGGGCUCGGUGACCCACAUGCGUCCCUUGGAUGCUCCCUAAGGAGACCUCAGGUCAGGCGGGGCUACCCGCUGAGUUUAAGCAUAUCAAUAAGCGGAGGA